rnacentral:tRNA from 1 species
GGUGUUGUAGCUCAGUGGUAGAGCACUUGCUCAUCAAGUGUGAAGCACUGGGUUGGAUUCUCAGCACCA